rnacentral:rRNA from 1 species
UGGGGAAUAUUGGACAAUGGGGGCAACCCUGAUCCAGCGAUGCCGCGUGGGUGAAGAAGGCCUUCGGGUUGUAAAGCCCUUUAGGUAGAGACGAAGUCAUGUGUAGGUUAAUGACAUGUUAUUGACGGUAUCUACAGAAUAAGCACCGGCAAACUCUGUGCCAGCAGCCGCGGUAAUACAGAGGGUGCGAGCGUUAAUCGGAGUUACUGGGCGUAAAGGGCGCGUAGGCGGGAAUAAGGGGGAUAUGUG